rnacentral:lncRNA from 1 species
GGUGAAAAUAAAAUUGGACAGGAGCUAUUUUACAUGCUAUCAGGCUACAUGGUUUUCCAAGUUCAAAAUUUUAAAAGACAUUUAAAAAAAGGAAAACGUUCCUUCAUAUACUUUGUUUUGAAGAGAUUAGAAGACAUUAAAAAAGGAAAACGUUCCUUCAUAAACUUUGUUUUGACGAGAUUAAAAUGGAAAGAGAAAAAGCAAGUUUAGCAAACUUCUCCAACUUUAACCAAGUACUGAAGAACAUAUGUAAAUUCACAACUUAUGAACAUACAUAUGUAAAUUCAUCAAAACUACGACAAGCUAGUUCACGACUUCAAUACUGUUUCCUAGUUAGCAUAAGCUAUUACACUGCUAUGGGCUAUAUUGUUAAUUUCUAACAAAAGAUUUCAAAUGACAAUGGCAUGUUCUUCUGCAGCGAAAAUCAUCAAAGAGAACACAAGAUAAAGAAAAAGAAACACUUCUUCCCAAAGUCCUCCAGUCACUCUUUCAGCGGCCGCUCUUUGAGAUAAAGAGUGAUAUAGACAACGGAGAGGAAGUCAUCAAGAUUUUUCAGUUUCUUCUCUCUUCGUUAGAUCUCUGUGCCAUUUUAUGCAGCAUAGUUUAGCUGGGCACGGAGUUUAAGAAAGAAAGACUUUGAAACUUGUGGUCGAAAACAAACCAAAAAUAUUUGUGUGGCUAUAUAUUAUCUCAUUAAGGGUGAAAUGGAUAAGCUUAAAGUCAAAUGGUUUCUAAAGAUAGAAAGGGGUCAUUCCUUCUCAAAUAUAGAAAGGGGCCCUUCUUUUUAUAACAACUUAAAAAGGAAAGUUCGCCACAUAAAUGAACGGAGGAGAGUAGUGCCAUUUCUACCGCUAUAAUUGUUUUAUUUAAUUAGCUAUUGACAUCCAUUACUGGAUUUUUCUUUCUUGUUUCCUUCCUAAUGUUUUCAUCAUUUAGGGAAGAGAAGCCAGUCGAAUUCCUCGAACUUGGGGGAGGUGCACCCAGCCCAUAGGUAAUCAAGUAAAAUAAUCAAAAUAUAGAGAAAGAUUUAUCUAGAAAGGCAAAGCAUGUAAAACGAAGCAUGAGAAACUAUCUAGUAAGUAUGUGCUGAUACCAUAAGUUCUCAAAUUGAAUGAACUUUGACCACUAAAAGCAACCAAGUAUUUCAGUUGACAAAGAUGACAUUUAAUUCUGUAAACCCAACUAAAGCAACUCCAGAUUAGAUGGGAUAUCAAGGGCAUUAAAAGUGAAAUAAAUUAGAACUAAGAUAUGCCUAUUUAGGCAACAAAAACGAAAAAUGAUAAGCAAUGGAAUAAAACUUAACUUAGUUGGACCAGACAGUUCGUUUUGACAGGUUGAAACAAAUAGUCAAUAAUUAAAUACAGGCAUGUUACAACAACAACAACAACCCAGUAUAAUCCCACUUAGUGGGGUCUGGGGAGGGUAGUGU